CUUACCUAUAACAUAUUGUAUAUCUAUCUUGCAAGAAUAAUUUAUUAAUGAGUUUUAAUUGGCAUAAAAUCAUAUUAGAUUAGCAUAAGACCCUAAUCACCCCCUCUAGGGUCUAACAAUAGUGUCCAUAACUACUAACUUUAGGCCUUUGUAAGUGGUAUAGUAUGGUGAGUAUCCCUAAUUCACACUUCAAGUUAAAUAAGACUGGGGUGAAGUGGAUCAUCCAGAAGUAUAAAAAGGCUUCCACGAAGGGAUCCAAAAAUAGAGCACUUGGACUCCGAGAGUAUCUUGUGCAUGCAGGGCUAGAUGAGGAUGAUGAUGAUCCAGACACCACCCGCCAAGAAGUCACCACCAUAAAGGCCUACCAGUAUUAGCACACGAGAGUAAUAGUCGGUCAAGAAGUGGUAAGUAGAUAUACUUAUAGGAAGAGACCACGACAAGUUCAGUGUCCCUAAGAAUAAUCUAAACAUUGAUUUUGGAGUUGUCGAUGAAGGAGAAAUAUCUAUCCUUAGAGAAAUCUCCUAAGGCAAAAAAAGCCUUCCGAAGCUUCAGCACAUGAACAAGUGGCUUAGUAUACAACUGCUUUAGAUAAGGAAUCUGCAUGAGUCAAUUGGGUGAAUUUAAGGGGAAAGAGAGGGUUUACUAUGACACUAACGCUUACAUCACCGACCCUGAUGAAUCUACUCGAGGAGACGACGUAGGUUUAUCGUAUUACAUCCCAAACAUUGAACCUACAUCAGAAGUUAAUGCCACGAUGACCACAUCCUCUUCUGUUGCAGAGCCUGCUGCUAAGCGUCCAAUCUCCAUUAAAGAUUCAUCUGAAUCCAUUGGAGAUGUACCGAUCUCUCCAUUUCCCUAAGGAGGUGAGAUAGGGGUUAAACCAAUACUCGAACCUCCAAUUGAGAGCGGUCCUUCAACAACGAUGAAGAAAUUUACCAAAUCGAAAAUCAAAGUUUCUUCCAUUGAUGAUGAGUCUACGGUUACAACUACAACUACAACACUGGUCAUACGACUUUCCAAACCUUUGGUUACAAUGACUCUAGCUUUUGCUACCUCGAUUGGUAUUUUGAUUGUUUUGACUUUAUUUGCUCCAUAUUUUAUGCCAAGCAGGGAUCAACUAUAGCCCGGAUCGCUUAUGCCUCCUAUCAUUACUGAGGCUUUAGCUAUUAUGAUUAAAGUGGGAUAGUCAAGGCCAGUGGAAGUUCCUCUAUCUCCGGACUCUAAUGAUACAGUCAAGUCUGAUAUUCAGAUCUUAAUUGAAAGCUUGAUGAAGCUGUUCAGCCAAAGUGUCGAGACUGCUCUAACUGCUGGCAAAGGUCUAUCCUCCCGCACUAAGUGUUUGUUUCAGAGUUAGCUUGACACCCUUGCAUUAGCUACUAGAGUCGAACGCACCGAGCCCGACAAGAGAAUGAUCAACCAAGCUGAACUCCAUUUUCUUGAAUUGCAGAAUCUUUGUGAGGCUGAUGUCACUAUUGUCAUGAAGCUUGAGUUCCAUCAUCUUAUGGCAAAAUGUUGUAAGCUUGAGGAGACAGCCCGCAAAGAGGCAGAAGAUGUCAAGCAACGUCUUCAAGAGUUGACCACUCAUAUUGCAAAAAUUGAUAGUGAGAAUGCUAAAAUUGCUAGUGUUAUCUUUGGGAGGGAUGCUACCAUCAAUAAGGCUAAGGUCAUUAUUAGAGACGACCCACUAGUAAAAGGGGGAACUCGGGACUAAGUCUACAGAAUUAGUUGUUGAGCAAGCAUAUAGAGCAAAGCAUUUAAAGGUGGAACGAGCCUAAUUGGAUGCUGUUAAAGCCCAAGCAGUUCCAGUUGAUCCAUAGGCUACGAGGAAGUAAGCUGUGAAAGGACCCCUUAAAGUGCACAAGGUAGAGAUGGCCAAAUGGGUUGAGCACAUCAAGACUUUGUAUCGCUCUUAAUUCUUGACUUAUCUCCAUGCCACAUUUUUUUUCUUUUGGGCCAAAUCAUUUGUAAUAGCUUAGUUAUUUUAGCAAUAAAGAACUUUGAUUUUGGAUAA